rnacentral:rRNA from 1 species
UACGUAGGGGGCUAGCGUUGUCCGGAAUCAUUGGGCGUAAAGCGCGUGUAGGCGGUCCGGUAAGUCCGCUGUGAAAGUCGGGGGCUCAACCCUCGAAUGCCGGUGGAUACUGUCGGGCUAGAGUGCGGAAGAGGCGAGUGGAAUUCCUGGUGUAGCGGUGAAAUGCGCAGAUAUCAGGAGGAACACCAAUUGCGAAGGCAGCUCGCUGGGACGCUACUGACGCUGAGACGCGAAAGCGUGGGGAGCAAACAGG